rnacentral:lncRNA from 1 species
CAGCACUUAAUCAUUUCCCCGAUUGCCAGCGCCAUGUGCUGGGAGCGGUGCUGGCUGUAACCCGGCGAGCCUGAGGCCGCCGCUGCAGCCCGGGGAGCUGAUGGCAGAAGCACACCACACGUGGAGUUUAAUUAUUGGCUUUCUUCCUUAACAGAGUACAUUGGCUGACCUUAAUGCAAUUAAUUAGGGCUUAAUCAACUUCUGGUGGCUCUGCACGGCACACAGUGAUUCCUGCCUUUCCAGGAGGGUUUAUAAGAAGUUAAAGCGGUAGAGGGGAGGGUGUGGUGUUGUUUGUGGGUUUUGUGGGGCUGUGCUGAUAAGUAAAGUUAGUCAGGAAUUUGGGUUGAAUUUGUGUCUUCCCGGGCUGGGCUUGUUGUUUGACAUGCUAGUAAAGGCAGGGGAGAGCAGGGAAACUUUUGCCAAGAGAAGUUGUACUCCGGUGGGAUGCUGCCUUGGGAAGGGACAACCCUGCUGCAUCCAAACCUGAGCCCUCUAUGGCAAAUUCUCUGCCACCAAACUCCAGUGAGGACCUGUGGGAGACACUCCACUGCUGCCAGCUGGCCUUGGUUGCUGUGGGAAGGAUUAAUGGCACAUCCAGCUGAUGAUCCCACAAUUGCUGACUUGGUUUGGAGGCAGUUCAGGAGCGAUGGCAGACCCGGCGCUGCCCUCACGGUGCUGGGUUCUCUCCGGUGGUGGUCACUUGUGAGUGUCUCCUCCCUGCCACCCUAAUGCCCGACACCAUUCCCUUCCUGGGUGGGUUUUGCUGGGGAUUUUGGGUGGGUCAAGCCCCUUAAGCUGUGGGAUUUGUGCUUUUUAUUUAGAGUCACAGUGCCUGAUCUGGCAAAUGCUGUGGCACAGCCUGGCCUAGGGAAAGCCAGGGCUGUCCCCCUCUACAGUGGGAAUGACCCCUCCAGCCUCCCAAAACGUGGCAGAGAUGUGGUUUGACAGCUCUUGGGGAAGAAAGGUGAGAGCCUUGGAAAUACUGAUGUGGAAAGCCAACCCACCCGCCCCAGUUUUGCAUUGAAGAAAGCUUCUGUGUGGAUGGAUUCCCCCUUCCUUGGGGGUCUGGCAGCCCCCUGCCUGCACUGCCCCAGGGAGGGGACAUGUGGAGACCCUUUCCUCAGGACUCCUGCCAUCCACCAUUCAGCGUGGGCAGGGACAUCCCAGAGGGAUAUGUGGAGAGUCCACCCUGCUGCACAGCUCCAGUCCCUAGAGAAACCCAGGCACUGGGGAUGGAGGAAGGCUUCUGGGAGUGUUUGGAAGAGUGUUGAUGUUCCCAGUGCUACCCUGUGGCAUGGAAAGGCAGCCUGAGGCUUAAAAUUCCUCCUGCUGGCUUAAGGGGAGCCCAGGUUGAUGGCUCUGGGGUGGCUCAGCCCCUCUGGAGUUGCUUAAGACAACACUCUGGCGCUGGUUGGCUGUGUUCUCCUGGACAAAGAGUUUUUUGGUGCUGUGUGGCAACCAGAGAGUGUAUUGUUACUUUGGGGGGGAGGGGNNNNNNNNNNNNNNNNNNNNUUUUUUUUUUUUUUUU